UACGUAGGGUGCGAGCGUUAAUCGGAAUUACUGGGCGUAAAGCGUGCGCAGGCGGUUCGUUGCGUCGGUGGUGAAAUCCCCGGGCUUAACCUGGGAAUGGCCAUGGAAACUGGCGAACUGGAGUGUGGCAGAGGGGGGUGGAAUUCCGCGUGUAGCAGUGAAAUGCGUAGAGAUGCGGAGGAACACCGAUGGCGAAGGCAGCCCCCUGGGUUAACACUGACGCUCAGGCACGAAAGCGUGGGGAGCAAACAGG
rnacentral:rRNA from 1 species